AGUGGAAUUGCUGAGUUGUGUGGUACAUUUAACUUUAUAAGAAACUGCCAAACUGUUUUUCAAAGUUGUAUCAUUUUACAUUCUCCCCAGCAAU
rnacentral:pre_miRNA from 3 species